AGCAGCCGCGGUAAUUCCAGCUCCAAUAGCGUAUAUUAAAGUUGUUGCAGUUAAAAAGCUCGUAGUUGAAUUUCGGAAUCGACGGAUUGGUCGCGCCUUCGGUGUGUACUGGUCUUGCCGGUUUCUCCCUUCUGACGAACCACGAUGUCAUUAAUUUGGUGUCGUGGGAAAUCAGGACUGUUACUUUGAAAAAAUUAGAGUGUUUAAAGCAGGCAUUAGCUUGAAUACAUUAGCAUGGAAUAAUGAAAUAGGACGUUUGAUCUUAUUUUGUUGGUUUCUAGGAUCGACGUAAUGAUUAAUAGGGAUAGUUGGGGGCAUUAGUAUUCAAUUGUCAGAGGUGAAAUUCUUGGAUUUAUUGAAGACUAACUACUGCGAAAGCAUUUGCCAAGGAUGUUCUCAUUAAUCAAGAACGAAAGUUAGGGGAUCGAAGACGAUCAGAUACCGUCGUAG
rnacentral:rRNA from 1 species